UCAGGCCAUGCUGUGGUCGCGUCCCACAUAAAAUGAACUAGAAGGACUUGUAACUAUGAUAUACAACAAUGCACUGGGGCUUUGGGGAG